CGGGCGGUGGGCAGGCUUCGGCCGCCGGUGCCGCCGGUGCCGCCGGUGCCGCCGGUGCCGCCGGUGCCGCCGGU
rnacentral:tRNA from 1 species